rnacentral:rRNA from 1 species
UACGGGGGGGGCAAGCGUUGUUCGGAAUUACUGGGCGUAAAGGGCUCGUAGGCGGCCAACUAAGUCGGAUGUGAAAUCCCCAGGCUUAACCUGGGAACUGCAUCCGAUACUGGAUGGCUUGAAUCCGGGAGAGGGAUGCAGAAUUCCAGGUGUAGCGGUGAAAUGCGUAGAUAUCUGGAGGAAUACCGAUGGCGAAGGCAGCCCCCUGGGUCAAUACUGACGCUCAUGCACGAAAGCGUGGGGAGCAAACAGG